rnacentral:rRNA from 1 species
CAUGGUCUUAGCUUGCUAAGUUUGAUGGCGACCGGCGCACGGGUGAGUAACACGUAUCCAACCUGCCGAUGACUCGGGGAUAACCUUGCGAAAGUAAGACUAAUACCCAAUGAUAUCUCUAGAAGACAUCUGAAAGAGAUUAAAGAUUUACCGGUGAUGGAUGGGGAUGCGUCUGAUUAGCUUGUUGGCGGGGUAACGGCCCACCAAGGCAACGAUCAGUAGGGGUUCUGAGAGGAAGGUCCCCACAUUGGAACUGAGACACGGUCCAAACUCC